rnacentral:tRNA from 1 species
GCGUCUGUAGCUCAAUAGGAUAGAGCAACGGCCUUCUAAGCCGUUGGUUGCAGGUUCAAGUCCUGCUGGACGUA